GACGAACGCUGGCGGCGCGCUUAACACAUGCAAGUCGAACGGAAAGGCCUGCUUUCCCUUGUGGUUUGCGGGUACUCGAGUGGCGAACGGGUGAGUAACACGUGAGUGGUCUGCCCCCAACUUGGGUAUAAGACUGGGAAACUGGGUCUAAUUCCCGAUAGGACUGCAGGGUGGUGCCUGUGGUGGAAAACGAUUUUCUAGUGGUAGGGGAUGAGCUCGCGGCCUAUCAGCUUGUUGGUGGGGUAAUUGCCUACCAAGGCGGGGACGGGUAGCCGGCCUGGGAUGGUGCACGGACACAUUGGGACUGGGAUACGACCCAGACUCCUACGGGAGGCAGCAGCGGGGAAGAGUGCACAAAGAGCGUGAUCCUGAGGCAGCGACGCCGUGUGGGAGAUGUCGGCCUUCGUGUUGUAAACUCCUUUCGACCGCGAGGAAGCCACCUGGUUGUAAGGGUGGUGACGGUAGUGGUAGAAGAAGCACCGGCUAACUACGUG
rnacentral:rRNA from 1 species